CCUACGGGAGGCAGCAGUAGGGAAUAUUGCUCAAUGGGGGAAACCCUGAAGCAGCAACGCCGCGUGGAGGAUGAAGGUUUUCGUAUUGUAAACUCCUUUUGUUAGAGAAGAUAAUGACGGUAUCUAACGAAUAAUCACCGGCUAACUCCGUGCCAGCAGCCGCGGUAAUACGGAGGGUGGAAGCGUUACUCGGAAUCACUGGGCGUACAGAGCGCGUAGGCGGGAUAGCAAGUCAGAUGUGAAAUCCUAUGGCUUAACCAUAGAACUUCAUUUGAAACUGUUAUUCUAGAGUAAGGGAGAGGGUGGGGGAAGUCCUGGGGGAGGGGGAAAAGUCGGAGAGAUAAAGAGGAAUA
rnacentral:rRNA from 1 species